CGCAUGUAUGUAAAAAGAUGGCUUCCGCAAUAUUAUUAUUAUUAUGUGCACGAUCGCUUUAUAUGUACGGCGUGUUACUUUAAUGUUCUCAAAUAAAGUUAUCAAGAAUCUGAAACAUGUCUGAUCCGGUUUUAGUCUCGUUUCACGAACAACUAAAGCAAUGCUUUGAGGUUUUGAAAGUGAAUAAAAGUGUUUGGGAAGGUGUGUUGAUUGAAUGCACACCUCUUAUGAGUUCUCUUGGAAACCUCUCGAAUCAGCUGAAGGCGCUGAAAAACGUUCAGCUAGCGAACACACCUCUGGCCCGCUUCCCUCGUUUACAAGAACGCCUUCAUUAUAAACUUUCACUGGCCGUGGAUACAGUUCUGGAAAAGUUAGCUAAGAAAAUGGAUGCUCUUCAGACAGUGAGGAACACCAUCAGUCAGCACGUGGCUGCUGUUUUCCAGUAUUAUGAGAAACACACAGACAGUCUUGACAUUGCAUGUUGUGUCAACAGAUCAGCCACCUGUCCGUCCAUCUCAGAUAUGUUGGAGUGGCUUCAAGAUGCAGAUAGAUAUUUCCGCAUCCAAUUACUUCAGAGAAGAAACUUUCUGCAGAUGCUAACACCCACCGAUGUCACAUUAAUGGAAACAGCACCAAAGAGAUGGGAAUCUCUGCAGUCGCCAACUAAAGAGGAGAGAAUUACAGAUGCACUGUGUCAAGUAUCAUUCUUCAUGGACAUGUAAGCUAAAUAACAGCUUGGAGAUGAUUGGCAGGCCGCUGCCACGUCUUGUGCCUGCUAACUCGUCUUAGUAUGGCAUCAAGUAUUAAAGGGCCACCAGAGUCCUUGAAGAGACAUUUUAUUACCUGAAGGGUUUAACAUGGAGUUGGCCCACCCUUUGCAGCUAUACCAGCUUCAACUCUUCUUUGAAGACUUUUUAAGGUUUAGGAGUGUGUUUAUGGGAAUUUUUGACCAUUCUUCUAAAAGCACAUUUGUAAGGUCAGACACUGAUGUAAGACUCCGCUCUAAUUCAUCCCAAAGAUCUUCUAUUGGGUUGAGGUCAGGACUCUGUGCAGGCCAGUCAAGUAGUGGUGGGCGAUACUGCAAAUUUUGGUAUCGAUCCGAUACCAAAUACAUAUAGGGUCAGUAUUGCCGAUUCCGAUACCAAUCCGAUACUUUUUACUUAAAAAAAUACUUUUGUGUAGGGGAGAGCAGUAUGUCAUUAUUUCUGAGGUGAAUGAAUGAUAAAUUCUUUAGGCUUUUUUAUUAAAGUAUUGAAGUCCACAAAAUUAU